rnacentral:rRNA from 1 species
CCUACGGGAGGCAGCAGUGAGGAAUAUUGGGCAAUGGACGAAAGUCUGACCCAGCCAAGUCGCGUGAGGGAUGAAUGCCCUAGGGGUUGUAAACUUCUUUUAUAUGGGAAUAAAAUGUUCCACGUGUGGGAUUUUGUAUGUACCAUAUGAAUAAGGAACGGCUAACUCCGUUCCAGCAGCCGCGGUAAUACGGAUGAUCCGAGCUUUAUCUGGAUGUAUUGGGUUUAAAGGGAGCGUAGGUGGAUGGUUAAGUCAGUUGUGAAAGUUUGCGGCUCAACCGUAAAAUUGCAGUUGAAACUGGGAGUCUUGAGUACAGAAGAGGGUGGUGGAAUGCGAGGUGGAGCGGUGAAAUGCUGAGAUAUAAUGAAGAACCCCGAUGGCGAAGGCAGCCUG